GAAAUGCGAUACGUGAUGCGAAUCGCAGAGAUCGGCGAGUCAUCCAAGUUUUGAACGCACCUUGCGCUCUCAGUGCUCCUGAGAGCACAUCCGUCUGAGCGUCGCCCCAUUCAUUGCCUCAAUCACCUCUCUCUACUCGAGAAAGGUGAUUGGUUCUUGGCUGUUCGCAUUUACUGAUUCAGUGAAAGCGUCAGCUUGAAUGCAAAGAAGGAUAAGCUGUACCUGUGUGUAUCAGUAAUGCACAGAUUUGGUACUGCAUUGGCAGUGAGGAGUUCUGCUCCUCUAAGUCCAGUGACUGGUGCUACUCAGUGUCUUGCUUGAUUGCAUCAAGUUAAGCUUUUGAUCUCAAUAAAGAUGUGAGCAUAUUCCACCAAGGACCGACCUCAGAUCGGGUGACGUA
rnacentral:misc_RNA from 1 species